UAGUAAUGUACUCUCCUGCAAAAUAAAAUCUCUGUGCUUGGUUGGUUUUCCACAGCUGUAUUUAUAAUUCCUCACAUGUAUCCCAGCUAGGUUUUUAAUGAUGUUUUUUAAUUUGUUUCAAUAUUCUGGAAAUGCCCAAGUACAUCCCAUAUUGGUUACUAUUGGGUCACGGAAGAAAGAAAGAAGAUUUUCACCAUGCCCCUAGUAGACAAGAGUGUUGCCAAACAGUUUAGAAACCAAAGCCAUAUUGCCCCUCCAGUUUCCAAAGUAUUUCCAUCUCUUCAGUUUGGACACCUCAAAGGUAGGUUUACCUAACACUAACUUGGACCACAUCUACAAAUGAUGGUGAUAAAAAGCACUCCUGUAUUUGAGUUGAUACACAUCAGAGAACUCCACUACCAAACCAAAAACCACACUCAAACAUGUUCCUGGGAGAAAAGUAGGCUGAAGAUAUUGUCUCUUUAUUCCAGACAGGGCCUGUUCAUUGUGGCUGGUGAAGAUGAUUAUCUCAGAUUCAAAACCAUUAGGAAUAACCUUUCCAGCUGCUUGAAAGAUUGUUCUUAAAAAAUAGAGCAGUUAUUACCUAUACACAACUUAUAUUCUCAAAUACAGUAUUUCUCUGGGGAAGAUUAAUAUUCGCUUAUUUUCUAGUGCAAGAAGUAAUGUUAUUAGAACAAUGUGGUGACGAAGGAAUAGGUUUAGGUAUGAGUCAACUGUAUCCACAAAAUUAUCAUUUUUUGAAUAUAGAGAAUAUCGACAUUAUGCCAAAUAAAAACUGUGAGUCUCUUGUUUGCCAACAUGAUCCAAUGCCUACCAGAGGCAUGGUUCUGUGUCUCCAGCCCUUUGGACAGCCCAUUGAUGCUGAUGACCCUAUGAAAAAAGUUUGUUUUGAAGCACCUGAUGUAUGCCUUCCUCUAAAGCAUACAGUCUGCUGAUUUGUGUGAACUACAGUGGCAGUAAUGUACUACCAGGAUUUCAACAACAACUUGCUUUAAGUAUUUGCUCUAGAUCACAUUACCAACUCUACAUUCAUCAAAAUAAGCAAGUGUUUGUGUUAACACGUAUGUUUUUGUGUUCACAUACAAAGCAGCUUCCUUUCUAAACAAGACAGACUGGAUUCAUGAUGAUAGCCCUGGUGAGGAGCCAUGCAGGGAUGGCCUGAGAUGGGCAGCAGCAAACUUGAUCGUGUACUCAUAGCAUUCUCAGAGAAUCAGAAGACUUUGGGCUUCUAAUAGAGUUAGGCAGAACUGUGUGACCAUGGUUAUGUGGAUCAUGAAGCGGAAAAGAUUUAAAAUAGUAUCUCUCUGCAUACCUACCCGUCCUCUGCUUACACCUUUUUGCUUCUCUGUGCACUUGUGUAGUGUCUGACUGAGACUCAGCGUGCAAUUUCAAUUCAGUUUGCAUGAUUUAUCCCGAAUUAUUUAUAGCAUAACUUGCACACACAGUGUUGCUUCGGAGUCCAAGAUCAGAGCAUGGCCUUUCCAAGAUACUGUGUGAAUGCAUAACUAGAAAAGGCUUUGUAAAAAUCCUUUACCUUAGACCACAAAGAAAGCCAGAGUCAGAGCAGAAGGGAGCAUGGAUCCCCAGAGUAGCAUCCCUAUUGCUCAGUCCUGGAUUGUGACUUCUCUGUGGAUGUUUGUUUGGUUGCUUACAGACUUUCAGGAGCAAAACCUUGGAUUACUUUUGUCACAGCACAGUUUGGGAUAUAUACUCAAAAAACACAGUGAAAAGCGUUGAACUUAUAUCAAUGUUGCCAAGACAAUAAUCAUCCCAGGAAACACUUCCUCAUUGUGUAGGCAAUGAAGCACUGGCACAGGAACCCAGAGAGGCUGUGUUCCUUCCUUGGAGAUCUCCAAAAGGCACCUGGAUGUGGUGCUGUGUACCUUUCUCUGGGUGUCCUUGUUGGGGCGCGCAUUGAGCCAGAUGGAUCCAGAGCUCCAGGCAACCUCAGCAAUUCCCGAAAGUCAAGUCUUGAUUUUUGUAUUAGAACCACUAUUCCAUUAGUGCACACCAUACCCGUGAAAUCCCUAUUUGAAAACACACUUUCUUAUAAUUCCUUCACAACCGUAUGCCAGACUAUUUGAUUGAUAAGACAUUAAAACUGCAAAGGCAGCACACUAUUUCUUCCCAGUGGUAGCCAGUGUUCCCAAAAAGCAUGAGUAGAUUUGCCUCAAAGAGUUAAUGGUAUGGCUUGCUGCAGCUCCAUAGGCAGCUAACCUUGCAAGCUUUCCCUGUCAGCUUAAGGUGUUGUUUUAUCUGCAGCACUGAGGAGUGGGUGGAGCAGAGAGCAGUGCUGAAACUGAAAAUCCAGCAAACUCAGACAAGAAAGCAUUUGCAGCCGCUGUCUGUUUGGUGCAAAGUUUUGGUUCAUUAGUCUUGAAACGUUUCACUAAGAGAAUGCUUCUGGUAUGCUGUAAACAACUGAAAGUACCUCGCAUGCAACAGCACUCUGUCAGAAAUGAAGAUGGCUUAUUCCCUCUUCUAAAAUAUUUAGAAAGUCGGUGACAAAGUUAAGCAAUGGUCAUCCUUGUGCUUUUUAAAGAUUAGCAUUGCGCUAACAAGCAAGUAAAAAUAUUUCUUUUCGUUUCCAGUUCGUUUUGUUUGAGGCUCAAAAAUACAAUUCUCUUUGCCCCUCUUAUUAAUUUUCCAAAUGCUUUAAAAUAAAUAAAUAAAUAAAUAAAUAAAUAGCGGUACAUUAAAGUGUUCUUAACAUCAUUUAGG
ensembl:lncRNA